rnacentral:rRNA from 1 species
UACAGAGGGGGCAAGCGUUGUUCGGAAUUACUGGGCGUAAAGGGCGCGUAGGCGGCCUGCUAAGUCGAACGUGAAAUCCCUGGGCUCAACCCAGGAACUGCGUCCGAUACUGGUUGGCUUGAAUCCGGGAGAGGGACGCGGAAUUCCAGGUGUAGCGGUGAAAUGCGUAGAUAUCUGGAGGAACACCGGUGGCGAAGGCGACGUCCUGGACCGGCAUUGACGCUGAGGUGCGAAAGCGUGGGGAGCAAACAGG